GACGAACGCUGGCGGCGUGCCUAACACAUGCAAGUCGUGCGAGAAAGUUCCUUCGGGAGCGAGUAAAGCGGCGCACGGGUGAGUAACACGUAGGUAACCUGCCCCCCAGUCUGGAACAACUAGAGGAAACUCUAGCUAAUGCCGGAUGAGACCACGAUCCCUUCGGGGGUUGCGGGCCAAAAGAUGGCCUCUACUUGUAAGCUAUCGCUGAGGGAUGGGCCUGCGGGCCAUUAGCUUGUUGGUGAGGUAACGGCUCACCAAGGCUGUGAUGGCUAGCUGGUCUGAGAGGAUGACCAGCCACACUGGGACUGAGACACGGCCCAGACUCCUACGGAGCAGCAGUGGGAAUAUUGCGCAAUGGGCGAAAGCCUGACGCAGCGACGCCGCGUGGGUGAUGAAGGCC
rnacentral:rRNA from 1 species